rnacentral:rRNA from 1 species
CCUACGGGAGGCAGCAGUGAGGAAUAUUGGUCAAUGGCCGGAAGGCUGAACCAGCCAAGUCGCGUGAGGGACGACUGCCCUAUGGGUUGUAAACCUCUUUUAUAAGGGAAGAAUAAAUGCUACGUGUAGCAUGAUGCCUGUACCUUAUGAAUAAGCAUCGGCUAACUCCGUGCCAGCAGCCGCGGUAAUACGGAGGAUGCGAGCGUUAUCCGGAUUUAUUGGGUUUAAAGGGUGCGUAGGCGGUUUUUUAAGUUAGUGGUAAAACGUCGGGGCUUCACCUUGAUUUGCCAUUAAUACUGUAAGACUCGAGUUCAGACGAGGUAGGCGGAAUAAGUUAAGUAGCGGUGAAAUGCUUAGAUAUAACUUAGAACUCCGAUAGCGAAGGCAGCUUACCAGACUGCGACUGACGCUGAAGCACGAGAGCGUGGGUAGCGAACAGGAUUAGAUACCCUUGUAGUC